CCUACGGGUGGCAGCAGUGAGGAAUAUUGGUCAAUGGACGAGAGUCUGAACCAGCCAAGUAGCGUGAAGGAUGACUGCCCUAUGGGUUGUAAACUUCUUUUAUAUGGGAAUAAAAUGUUCCACGUGUGGGUUUUUGUAUGUACCAUAUGAAUAAGUAUCGUCUAACUCCGUGCCAGCAGCCGCGGUAAUACGGAGGAUCCGAGCGUUAUCCGGAUUUAUUGGGUUUAAAGGGAGCGUCGGUGGAUUGUUAAGUCAGUUGUGAAAUUUUGCGGCUCAACCGUAAAAUUGCAGUUGAAACUGGCAGUCUUGAGUACAGUAGAGGUGGGCGGAAUUCGUGGUGUAGCGGUGAAAUGCUUAGAUAUCACGAAGAACUCCGAUUGCGAAGGCAGCUCACUGGACUGCAACUGACACUGAGGCUCGAAAGUGUGGGUAUCAAACAGGAUUAGAUACCCGUGUAGUC
rnacentral:rRNA from 1 species